rnacentral:sRNA from 6 species
GCAUCUGAAGUCUGACGAGGAUGAGAACCUCCGGGGGCAAGAGGUUCGACCCGAGCGAAGCGAGAGAACGUUGCGUCAGCAACGGCCCGCAGUGGCAAGUCAUCCUCUGUCACCGGCAG